GUCUAGAGACAGGUGGAAGCUGAGCCGGGUGUGAUGGGAGAACAGUAAGAAGUCCCCUUGGAGAGCAUGAGGAAUGGAGUUAGAGUGGUGGUUUUCACUGUGCCUCUGGACCAACUGUAUGAUCACCUCUUCAGAUCAAAAUGUCAGCUUUUAGCCCCAACUCCCAAGUCUACUGCAUCAGAAACUGAACAUGGAGCCCAGCGGUCUCUGCUCGAACAAGGCCUCCCGAUGGUUGGUGCAGAUGAACAAGGCCUCCCGAUGGUUGGUGCAGAUGAAGACAGAAGCUUGAGAGACAGGCGUUAGAGAAUCCUGAAGGAGUUGCUUCCAUCUGAAAUAUCAUGGGACGAAGGCAGUGUGUAGUCAUUGAAACCCUCGAGUCUCAAAGUAAGAAAAGUCCAGCUGCAUCCCCAUUGUCAGACCUUGAAAAUCAGAUUCUCCAAGGAGAGACCUGGAAUCCCAUCUUCAGGCGGGUAUGCAAUUCACCUCAAACCUGCUCAAUUAUUUCCUCUGUUGAAGAAAAUCUUUGGUCCCUGCAUUUCAAAUACAGUCUUUGCACCAUGGAGAAGUCUAGCGAGAGCCAGGCUGGUGAGCUGCAAGGCCUCUCCACCUUUUAGCCUGGUGAGCUGGUGUACCCCCGGGCGGUGAGCGCUUCUGUAGGGCAGGUCAUACCAGAUCCCUGGCAGCCCAUAAAUCUCUCCUGUGACUGUGACUCCUAAGUCACCUUUGUGUGAUUUCUGCAGCCAAGUCAUCCUACAGAGCUGCACUUUGACUUGCUCUUUGUUCUAGUCCUCGGAGCCACCGUGGGAAUACACUUGAUGAAUCAUGGAACUGAGCCUACUAGGGAGCUGCGGGUAUCAUGGGAAGGCCCUAGCUAGGAUUGAGGGAGGUCCAGAGUACUUCGUGGACUCGGGGUUUAGCCGGGUUGUGGCAGCCCCCAGCCUUGACUUUUCUCAUACAUUCUCCCUUACUGACCACUUCUCCUCACUGGCCCCACCUCCCAUCCCCUCAUCCUGCCUACAGUCUGAGCCUCUCUUUACCAGAUCUUUGGCUUGGCGCUCUAUUAUUCUUGAGAUGAGCUGCCUUUCUGUUGCUCAUUCCAGCUCAGACAAUCUUGUGGGGGGAGCGUGAGGAGGUGAGAGGAGCUGGGGCCAUAGCGAACGGCGGAUGAGUCAUCUCCCCAGGUUGAUGUGGGGAGAGAAAAGACCGUGUGGAUGUGCUGUUAGGAAAAAAUGACACGCGGAUGAGGAGCACAUCUGAAUCAAACAUUAGUCACCAAACCCAGGGGAGAGAGAUGCCCUUUCUGGGAGGGACUGUGUGUAUAGGGCUGUGGGCGGGGACUCGGGUGUGGCAAGGAUACCUGACAGCAAUAAGACCCACCAUUCAGUGGGGCCGUUUGUCAAAUGGAGUCCAAGAGUGAACUGUGGAGUAUUUAGAUUCCUGAAAGACCCUUGACGUUUACGACUGACAUCUACGAAAUGGAGACUCGGCGCUAAACGCAGGUAGAGGAAGCGGCACUAGAUUUCAUGGAAAAGAAGGAGCCGAGUCUCCGAAACAUCUAUAGACAACAGUGUUGGCUUCCUGGUAUCUAAAAUGCUCAAGGCCAAUCUGAAGGGAGGACAAUGCUAGUUUAUUCUGUGUCGACCCCCAAGAGCUGUGGCCGAAAGUCCUCUCAACUUCUCUGAGGGCAGUGGGGCGUCGUCCUACAGCUCGAGGUCACAGUCACUCCAAGAGCGUUGAGAUCACUUACAGUGAAUCUCCUUCACAGGCAUUCAUCCUUUUACAAGAAGUUUAUCUGUUUUACAAGACAAAGGUGGCACCUCGCUCUCCCUUCCUUCUGCAGACAGACUCCCUCAGUCUAGAGCUGGUUGUCAGUGCCUCUUUCACUGACCCUGCAAUGACCUUGCAACUAAUAAAGUACCCAAGCAUCUUUUGUUGCUGUUGUUCUUUUCCUGAGACUGGUCCCUCCCUCCAGUUCUACCGUUCUUACCGCAGCAUCU